rnacentral:rRNA from 1 species
AAUUAUUGGGCGUAAAGCGUCCGCAGGCGGCCCUUCAAGUCUGCUGUUAAAAAGUGGAGCUUAACUCCAUCGUGGCAGUGGAAACUGUUGGGCUAGAGUGUGGUAGGGGCAGAGGGAAUUCCCGGUGUAGCGGUGAAAUGCGUAGAUAUCGGGAAGAACACCAGUGGCGAAGGCGCUCUGCUGGGCCAUAACUGACGCUCAUGGACGAAAGCCAGGGGAGCGAAAGGGAUUAGAUACCCCUGUAGUCCUGGCCGUAAACGAUGAACACUAGGUGUCGGGGGAAUCGACCCCCUCGGUGUCGUAGCCAACGCGUUAAGUGUUCCGCCUGGGGAGUACGCACGCAAGUGUGAAACUCAAAGGAAUUGACGGGGGCCCGCACAAGCGGUGGAGUAUGUGGUUUAAUUCGAUGCAACGCGAAGAACCUUACCAGGGUUUGACAUCCUGCGAAUCUCCUGGAAACGGGAGAGUGCCUUCGGGAACGCAGUGACAGGUGGUGCAUGGCUGUCGUCAGCUCGUGUCGUGAGAUGUUGGGUUAAGUCCCGCAACGAGCGCAACCCACGUCUUUAGUUGCCAGCAUUCAGUUGGGCACUCUAGAGAGACCGCCGGUGAUAAACCGGAGGAAGGUGUGGAUGACGUCAAGUCAUCAUGCCCCUUACAUCCUGGGCUACACACGUACUACAAUGCUACGGACAAAGGGCAGCAAACUCGCGAGAGCUAGCAAAUCCCAUAAACCGUGGCUCAGUUCAGAUCGUAGGCUGCAACUCGCCUACGUGAAGGAGGAAUCGCUAGUAAUCGCAGGUCAGCAUACUGCGGUGAAUACGUUCCCGGGCCUUGUACACACCGCCCGUCACACCAUGGAAGUUGGCCACGCCCGAAGCCGUUACUCCAACCCUUGUGGAGGAGGACGU